UUUACAUCAGGAGCCCUGGUGGGGCAAGAGCCAGGUACUACUUCAAUAGGAAGAACAGGUACUCCAUCGAUGUUCAGGUUGUCUGUGAUUAUGCUGGGAAAAUAACUAGUAUCGUUGCAAGGUGGCCUGGACUGGUAGCAGCCACGAUGCCAGGAUCUUUUCUGAGUGUGCACUGAAUUGGCAGCUUGAUGCUAGGGCAUAUGAAUAACAGUUGAUUCUUGGAGAUAGACUAUAGGGUAUCCAUGCCUUCUCUGCCUCAUCAGAAGCCAUUUCUUCAUUCAGAGGGUCGACCACAGAUGUGCUUUAAAGGCCAUCUGUACUGGUUCAGCCAAAGAGGAUUAGACAACCCAGCAAGGUCACUGACGGGAGGCUAUCUCAUCAAUUCAGUUCUCAAUUAAAAUAAGAAAAAGAGGAUCAUGGGGGAUUAACAGGCACAGAUUGGGGAAGUUUUCUAUAAAGAGGGAGCAAGUAGCUAGAAGUAGUACAGUGGGGCUUUAACACUUCACACACAAAAAAGGGAGAUGUGUGAUUGAGCGCAUAUUUAUUAAAUGCAAGGAUGAGGACGUUCCAUGCCUCAUCAAUACUAAGAGUAUUUCAAAAUACGGCCCCUCCCUGGUGUUCCCACAAUACUUCGUAGUUAUGCAGCAUUACAUCAAGAACCUGUGUGUUGAACCGUUGAUUAUUUAUGAAUAUUUUUGAAGUUAUGUUUAGUUGAUAAGUAUUUGUUGUCACUCUGACGGUAUUUGUAAUUAAGUGUUCUCUGUAGAUUAAAUGCACCCGAUUUAACUAUAAUUAGCAUUGUACUGCUGAGUUGAGGGGUGGGUCAAUAUAAAUUAUUUGGUUGGCAGCUAGGGGAGAGUAUUCGAACAAAUAUUAUUUACUGUACUAAGCGAAGUCAGAAUUAAAGAACUUUUAUGUGCAAAUUUGAA